rnacentral:lncRNA from 1 species
AGAUUUUAUGAAAUAAAAUAGGAUUAACGUUUUUAGUGAUUUCAAGAGUUUUGUAAUAGAUCUAUAGGUGAAAUUUUGUGGAUUAAUGGCCAUAGUUGUUUUUAAUAUGUUUUAUAAAUCUUAGCUCGAUCUAAUAAUUGAAUUGAGGAUUAUUGAGGUUUAAAUGGAUCAAGGUCUUUGAAAGUAGAAAUUUAGGUCUAGUAAUGGCUUUUAAAAUUUCUUGCAUUCUACUCAUUGGAUUGGAGUAAAAUUUAUAUAAGAGGAUAAUAGACUUGUUUUUCUAUGUGUAUGCAGAUUUUGAGAUCAAUCAAACAAUGAAAAGAAGAGAUAUUGG